GACGGACCGGUCUAACGGCUACGGCUCCCGUCUGCAGAUGCUGGAAACACCGGACAUCUCUCUCCUCGUCGGAGCAGGUUAUUAAUGCCCGGGUCGCGCCUUUGUGAAACUUAUAUAAUCUAAAACACGGUGUUGUAACAGCAGAGGCACUUGUACUGGGAGUGACUGCAGCGGUGGGUCCGGCCGGCUCUCUUUGAGGGGUCAUGUCAGUGAUUUUGGCCUCAGCAGGAGAUUUGGACUGUUUGGGAAGGACGUGGUAGAAGGAGGGAGCAAACCGGGCAUUGGAGCAAUCUGAGCUCUCCUUUUUGAGGCAGGGGCCUUGGCAGCCUGAUUGAGGAUUAGAUCCUCAAAGAAGUUUCUUCUUUCUCUGCUGGUGGGGACCUUGAUGUGGAAAACCUCUCCGUACUCCAUCCGAAACAAUUCCUGCACCUGAGACAUGAAAAGUGAGAGGGUGUCACUCUGCUUCCCAUACCUCCACACUGAGUUGGUCAUAGUGCAGGUUGCACGUAGCCAGAAGCAGUAUAGGAGCAAAGGCAGGGAUGGAGCUGAGCAGGCUGAGGAAGGUGGCUCUUAAGGCCGGACCCACUGU